UUCAAAUACCUAGGAGAGCAGAGAUUAAUAAAUAGGAAAAGAGUAAACCAGGAUUUAUUCUUUUCUUCAUGACUUACGUAUUUAAGUAUUAAUAAAAUUGAAGAUUUACUUAUUUUUUAAACUGAGAGUUCAUGGGGAGAGAAAAUCCAGCAGUUGAAGACCUCCAAAGCCUGAUGCAGCUGUAGCAGCUCUGAUGUGAUAAGGAAGCUUAGCACGCAGACAAAACGCCAUUCCCUUCAGAGGGGCCUUUGCAUGUUCUCAAGAUCCUUCCUAAGACCCAGUCAAGUGAAACCGCCCUCCUUCAAGGGCUGCUAACAGUCAGCAGCGGGCUCUCGUACCUGCCAAGGGUGCCACCGCGUGGACAGUCAUGUCAGUGAUGGAGAGAUAUAAAGAUUCGCAAUGCAAAAGAGUAAAGGUAUGAAUCAGAGAAAAUAACAUAGAAUUCAACUAACCUAGCAUCCAUUCAGCUAUUUUUGCAAAGGACUGGUGCCCUGUAUCUGGAAGGAUAAGGAAAAGGAAGAAACAAACAAA